rnacentral:lncRNA from 1 species
UACCAGAUACCAAUUGUUAAAGACGUAUAGAUCAAGAAAAAUAACAUAAUUAAGUCAUGCUUCAUGUCAUCUCUAAUCAUUUAAAUCAUGAACAAAUAAGUCACUUAAUUGUCAUGCACCAUAAUUAAAAUAAUUUGAAAUAACAAACACUCAUGCUAAAAUAUAUAAUCACCAUCUAAGCAUGCAAAACAAUAAACAUGGCAAUCACAUAUAAUAGCAAAAAGCACGAGGUACUGGAUUUUAAAUAAAUUCACAAGUCCUAUGUAUAGACAAUUUAAUACUCAUGAAUUCAUUCAAGAAAUACGAUAGACAUGCUCAUGAAA